rnacentral:rRNA from 1 species
AGUCAAUAGAUACCCCGGUAGUCCAUGCCGUAAACGAUGAUUGCUAGGUGUGGGGGGUCUGACCCCUUCCGUGCCGGAGUUAAACACAAAUAAGCAAUCCACCUGGGGAGUACGGCCGCAAGGUUGAAACUCAAAGGAAUUGACGGGGGCCCGCACAAGCAGUGGAGUAUGUGGUUUAAUUCGAAGCAACGCGAAGAACCUUACCAGGUCUUGACAUCCACCGAAUCCUGUAGAGAUACGGGAGUGCCCUUCGGGGAACGGUGAGACAGGUGGUGCAUGGUUGCCGUCAGCUCGUGUCGUGAGAUGUUGGGUUAAGUCCCGCAACGAGCGCAACCCUUGUGAAUAGUUGCUACGAAAGAGCACUCUAUUCAGACCGCCGUUGACAAAACGGAGGAAGGUGGGGAUGACGUCAAAUCAUCAUGCCCCUUAUGACCUGGGCUACACACGUACUACAAUGGCCGUUAACAGAGGGAUGCAAUGCCGCGAGGUGGAGCGAACCCCUAAAAACGGUCUCAGUUCAGAUUGCAGGCUGAAACUCGCCUGCA